rnacentral:rRNA from 1 species
AUUGAACGCUGGCGGAAUGCUUUACACAUGCAAGUCGAACGGUAGAGGGGGCAACCCCUUGAGAGUGGCGAACGGGUGAGUAAUGUAUCGGAACGUGCCCAGUCGUGGGGGAUAACGUAGUGAAAAUUACGCUAAUACCGCAUACGAUCUAUGGAUGAAAGCGGGGGAUCGCAAGACCUCGCGCGAUUGGAGCGGCCGAUAUCAGAUUAGGUAGUUGGUAGGGUAAAGGCCUACCAAGCCAACGAUCUGUAGCUGGUCUGAGAGGACGACCAGCCACACUGGAACUGAGACACGGUCCAGACUCCUACGGGAGGCAGCAGUGGGGAAUUUUGGACAAUGGGCGAAAGCCUGAUCCAGCCAUUCCGCGUGCAGGAUGAAGGCCCUCGGGUUGUAAACUGCUUUUGUACAGAACGAAAAGGUUUCUAUUAAUACUAGGAG